AUACGGGGGGGGCAAGCGUUGUUCGGAAUUACUGGGCGUAAAGGGCGCGUAGGCGGGCAGGAAAGUCUCUCGUGAAAUCCCACGGCUCAACCGUGGAAUUGCGGGAGAUACUACUUGUCUUGAGUUCGGGAGAGGAGUGUGGAAUUCCCAGUGUAGCGGUGAAAUGCGUAGAUAUUGGGAGGAACACCAGAGGCGAAGGCGGCUCUCUGGGCUAUGCCUGACGCUGAGGCGCGAAAGCGUGGGGAGCAAACCGGAUUAGAUACCCGGGUAGUCC
rnacentral:rRNA from 1 species